rnacentral:rRNA from 1 species
AUUGAACGCUGGCGGCAGGCCUAACACAUGCAAGUCGAGCGCGAAAUUUCCUUCGGGAAUGAGUAGAGCGGCGGACGGGUGAGGAACGCGUAGGAAUCUACCUAGUAGUGGGGGACAACAAUCGGAAACGGUUGCUAAUACCGCAUAAGCCCUAAGGGGGAAAGCAGGGGAUCUUCGGACCUUGCGCUAUUGGAUGAGCCUGCGUCGGAUUAGCUAGUUGGUGGGGUAAUAGCCUACCAAGGCAACGAUCCGUAGCUGGUCUGAGAGGAUGAUCAGCCACACUGGGACUGAGACACGGCCCAGACUCCUACGGGAGGCAGCAGUGGGGAAUAUUGGACAAUGGGCGCAAGCCUGAUCCAGCCAUGCCGCGUGUGUGAAGAAGGCUCUAGGGUUGUAAAGCACUUUCAGUAGGGAGGAAAAGUUAGUAGUUAAUAACUGCUAACCCUGACGUUACCUACAGAAGAAGCACCGGCAAACUCCGUGCCAGCAGCCGCGGUAAUACGGAGGGUGCGAGCGUUAAUCGGAAUUACUGGGCGUAAAGCGCGCGUAGGCGGUUUGAUAAGCUGGAUGUGAAAGCCCUGGGCUCAACCUGGGAAUUGCAUCCAGAACUGUCUGACUAGAGUACAGUAGAGGUGAGUGGAAUUUCCUGUGUAGCGGUGAAAUGCGUAGAUAUAGGAAGGAACAUCAGUGGCGAAGGCGACUCACUGGACUGAUACUGA